rnacentral:rRNA from 1 species
GACGAACGCUGGCUGCGUGCUUAACACAUGCAAGUCGAACGGAAAGGCCCUGCUUUUGUGGGGUGCUCGAGUGGCGAACGGGUGAGUAACACGUGAGUAACCUGCCCUUGACUUUGGGAUAACUUCAGGAAACUGGGGCUAAUACCGGAUAGGAGCUCCUGCUGCAUGGUGGGGGUUGGAAAGUUUCGGCGGUUGGGGAUGGACUCGCGGCUUAUCAGCUUGUUGGUGGGGUAGUGGCUUACCAAGGCUUUGACGGGUAGCCGGCCUGAGAGGGUGACCGGCCACAUUGGGACUGAGAUACGGCCCAGACUCCUACGGGAGGCAGCAGUGGGGAAUAUUGCACAAUGGGCGGAAGCCUGAUGCAGCAACGCCGCGUGCGGGAUGACGGCCUUCGGGUUGUAAACCGCUUUCGCCUGUGACGAAGCGUGAGUGACGGUAAUGGGUAAAGAAGCACCGGCUAACUACGUGCCAGCAGCCGCGGUGAUACGUAGGGUGCGAGCGUUGUCCGGAUUUAUUGGGCGUAAAGGGCUCGUAGGUGGUUGAUCGCGUCGGAAGUGUAAUCUUGGGGCUUAACCCUGAGCGUGCUUUCGAUACGGGUUGACUUGAGGAAGGUAGGGGAGAAUGGAAUUCCUGGUGGAGCGGUGGAAUGCGCAGAUAUCAGGAGGAACACCAGUGGCGAAGGCGGUUCUCUGGGCCUUUCCUGACGCUGAGGAGCGAAAGCGUGGGGAGCGAACAGGCUUAGAUACCCUGGUAGUCCACGCUGUAAACGGUGGGUACUAGGUGUGGGGUCCAUUCCACGGGUUCCGUGCCGUAGCUAACGCUUUAAGUACCCCGCCUGGGGAGUACGGCCGCAAGGCUAAAACUCAAAGGAAUUGACGGGGCCCCGCACAAGCGGCGGAGCAUGCGGAUUAAUUCGAUGCAACGCGUAGAACCUUACCUGGGUUUGACAUGGGUCGGGAGUGCUCAGAGAUGGGUGUGCCUCUUUUGGGGUCGGUUCACAGGUGGUGCAUGCCUGUCGUCAGCUCGUGUCGUGAGAUGUUGGGUUAAGUCCCGCAACGAGCGCAACCCUUGUUCACUGUUGCCAGCACGUUAUGGUGGGGACUCAGUGGAGACCGCCGGGGUCAACUCGGAGGAAGGUGGGGAUGACGUCAAGUCAUCAUGCCCCUUAUGUCCAGGGCUUCACGCAUGCUACAAUGGCUGGUACAGAGAGUGGCGAGCCUGUGAGGGUGAGCGAAUCUCGGAAAGCCGGUCUCAGUUCGGAUUGGGGUCUGCAACUCGACCUCAUGAAGUCGGAGUCGCUAGUAAUCGCAGAUCAGCAACGCUGCGGUGAAUACGUUCCCGGGGCU